AAACACUUUGGUUGUAACACUGGGUUUCAGUAGGAGGAGGAGAGUUGGUAACUUCACUAGUUAGUGUGUUUUAAUGUGGUUUCAUGACUGACUCACCUGGACACAGACCAGAGAUUCUGCUCCUCUACUAACGAGCAGCAAGUUCAGUCAUGUCUGUGAGGAUCUGAAGAGUUAACAUAGUUUCGCUGUGGUUUAGGGAAUCUGAGUCAGGACUGCUAGUUCCCUAGGAAUACCUGGAAAUACGAGUAAACGCCUAGAAAUGUCUGUAACCGAACAUCUUGCCUCCAAUCCUGCUGUCAACAAAGUCAGACACCAGAAUCACUGAUUUGACUCUUCAUUAAACCAGAUCUGCACUGAAACAUGCUUACAGCUGGAGACUGAGAUGUGGUCUGAACUUGGUACCAGUUCCAUCAGAUUCUGAUCAUUUACAACUGAGACAUUAGAGUAGAACUAAUCCAGUGUUCUCUCUCCUGAUAGUGAUCCAGAUAGAUGAACUCAGCAUCUGUUAAAUAUUUGAAAAAUAUCAGGAAAAUAUUGUAAUUUCUGUAAACCAACCAUUAAAACCUAUUAAUAAUGAUGUAAUGAUGGUAUUUUAAUGUGAUUUUUAAGGAGGUUUACUAAUGGCUACAUUAAUGGAAUCUAUUAUGAUAUAAAGUUAUUGCGUUUGUAAAAUAAUGGUACUUUUUAAUCUAUUACAAUGCAAAUUAAGGAAAAUGUUAAUUCAUAAAUUUAAAAAGGAGUAAUUAUCCUUUAAAAAUAAAUUCAUUAAUGUACAAAACUCCUUAAUAUUUUCUAAACAGUGACAUGUAUCUGCAGCAGGUGGCCACACGAACUUUUAUCUAAUUUAUUUAUUAUCUUUUAUUUUAUGUACAGUUUUAAAUGUAAUUUUAAUCUAUUUGAUUUGUUUCAUUAUUUUUAUUUCUACAUUUAAAUGUUUUAGUUUUAUUAUCAGCUGCUCUGUUAACUGAAACACACUCUGACCUGCCAUCAUCUGUAUGAAAGGUGAUAUACAAAU